CAGUAGCCGCGGGAAAACGAAGGGUGCAAGCGUUACUCGGAAUUACUGGGCGUAAAGCGUGCGUAGGCGGCUUCUUAAGUCGGAUGUGAAAUCCCUGAGCUUAACUUAGGAAUUGCAUUCGAUACUGGGAAGCUAGAGUAUGGGAGAGGAUGGUAGAAUUCCAGGUGUAGCGGUGAAAUGCGUAGAGAUCUGGAGGAAUACCGAUGGCGAAGGCAGCCAUCUGGCCUAAUACUGACGCUGAGGUACGAAAGCAUGGGGAGCAAACAGGAUUAGAUACCCCGGUAGUCCCUGUCUCUUAUAA
rnacentral:rRNA from 1 species